AAUGUUACAUUAGUAGCAUUCAUUUAAUAUGCAACACAAACAAAUUAAAUGCAUGUUUUGGGAACCCAAACUGUGAUUGUUAGGGUCUUAUUGUUCAGCUUGGUUUGGUUUUAACAAUUUUUAAAUUCUAACAUUUUUAACAAAUACGAUCUUUUGAAACAUGUAAUAUACAAAAUAUCACGAAUUAUAAAUUUUUAUAAAACGUACAUAGAAAAGUAUAGAUAUUCUGAUUCCUAGAACUUAACUUAUUUUUCCCUGGUGAAACCCAGGAAUGUCAAUAUUUUAAUGUCAAGAGAAACAUUGUACCUUCAAAGCCGAACAACUUGUUCAACAUAAACAUGACGAAAUGAACUGACGUUGACAAAUGUUGUCGGGAUUUAUAUAAAUAUAUUGUUUACUGAAACAUACGAUUAUUUCAAUUCAAGGUUUUGAAGAGACUUAAAAUGUGUAUCCUUCGCAUCUGUAUUCUGAUGUCUUGUUCAAUCAUAUGUUUAAACGGUGCAGUAAUUAGGCGGAACUUAAAAGACUUGAAAAUCCAGUCAUGUAAGCAGAGGGUUUCCGGAUUUCGCUCUCACAAUAUCAACAUAAGGGAAAAUUGUAAGAAAGGGGAAAUUCGAUGGACAUUGACAAAGAAAUAUUUGAAUUUGACUUUCCAAACCUCCGACACCAAAGAGUUAUGCUUCAGCUCUAGAGCACCGAAUGGACUGCAGAAGUAUGCCGUUAAAAGAUUAAAAGAAAAGAAAUUGGUUAAGUUAGGAACGCCGAGAAAAGGAUUUGACACCUGCACUUCAAUAAUUAAAGGCAAAACUACCAUCCGAAUCGAUCCAACUGGAAUGUAUUACGGGUUGUACGUGCGUUAUACGAUUGUCCCGAAAGACCGUACAGUUUGAACAUGUUAUACAAGAUUUUUAUACAACUUUUACUGUUUUGUUUGUUAAUAUAUAUCUCAUGUAAUGUCAUCAUACUUUUAGCACAUUGUAAUGUAAUAAAUUUGUUUUUGAUUA